rnacentral:lncRNA from 1 species
UAUAUGUAUUACCUAAGUGGGGCACUCACUUACUCCCUACAUAUACACUAACACCGACACCGACAGGGGACAUAGAACAAACCUAUAUCCCACUUACCCAUGAUUAAAAGGAAGGGGACCACUACACCGAAUAAAGAAUUCAAACAUGCAAAAUGGGACCACACACUCUAAACUACAAUAUAACCACUCAUCAUGCAAAAUGGGACCACAAAUCAUGCACACGACUUACAAACACACAAAAACCCAAAUUUCGCACAUGCUCGAAAAAGGUAAAGAAGAACGAAAAGGACAUAACUUACCUCUAUUCGCGUCACCAGUAGCCUGGAUUGACUUCGUCUUCUCCAACAAUGAAUUGCGUCAACGUCUCUGGCUUCCUCUCGCAAGCACUUCAAGAAAUCCCCAAACUCAAAUUUUCGAAUCCCUAAUUCCCAAUUAACAGUUGCUCUGAUUUUGUAAUACCCCUAAAUCCCUAAAUUACUAAAUCCCUAAAUUAUUAAAUCCCAAUUGCCACGUAAAAUAAAAAAUAACACCUCACCACAUUCUCAUUCCAACACCUGUCCAACACGUCAUCAACACUUAACACUGUUUGAUAAGACUUAACGGAUGUGAUGAAAUGUGUUCAUUUUUGCAAAAUUUGUGACUAAAUUGAGACGGUUGCAAAAUAGAGGACCAAAAUGAGAUAAGUUGACAAACUAGAGGACCAAAUGAGGUAUUAAG